rnacentral:rRNA from 1 species
GACGUAGGGCGCGAGCGUUGUCCGGAUUUAUUGGGCGUAAAGAGCUCGUAGGCGGCUUGUUGCGUCGACCGUGAAAACCCGGGGCUCAACUUCGGGCUUGCGGUCGAUACGGUCGGGCUAGAGUUCGGUAGGGGAGACUGGAAUUCCUGGUGUAGCGGUGAAAUGCGCAGAUAUCAGGAGGAACACCGGUGGCGAAGGCGGGUCUCUGGGCCGAUACUGACGCUGAGGAGCGAAAGCGUGGGGAGCGAACAGG